rnacentral:rRNA from 1 species
UUUUGUGGGGUGCUCGAGUGGCGAACGGGUGAGUAACACGUGAGUAACCUGCCCUUGACUUUGGGAUAACUUCAGGAAACUGGGGCUAAUACCGGAUAGGAGCUCCUGCUGCAUGGUGGGGGUUGGAAAGUUUCGGCGGUUGGGGAUGGACUCGCGGCUUACCAGCUUGUUAGUGGGGUAGUGGCUUACCAAGGCUUUGACGGGUAGCCGGCCUGAGAGGGUGACCGGCCACAUUGGGACUGAGAUACGGCCCAG